UUCUACUGUAGUAUGUGUGUUUUUUUUAAUUGUAUUAAUACUUUUGUUCCAGUGAACCAUCGGAGGACCAGUCAAAGAAUAUCAGACUGACAUUGCAGCCACUUAAUUUAUCGCAGAAGGAGGAAGCAGAAUCUCCACCGAAUGUGAGACUCAAGGAAACCACGCCCGGCCAAGAUCUCCUAGAGUGGUGUAAGGAAGUGACCCGUGACUAUCCGGGGGUCAAAGUCACCAAUCUGACUACGUCUUGGCGGAAUGGAAUGGCCUUCUGUGCUGUCAUACACCAUUUCAGACCGGAUCUCAUAGAAUUUGACUCUCUGUCCUCGCAUGACAUUAAGGGGAACUGCAAGAAAGCCUUUGAUGCUGGAGAGGCGCUGGGAAUCCCGCGUGUGAUCGAACCGGCUGACAUGGAUGUUCUAGCCGUGCCAGACAAGUUAGCUGUCAUGACAUACCUCUACCAGCUUAGAGCUCACUUUACCGGUCAUGAACUGGAAGUGCAACAAAUUGGGAAGACCACAGAUGAGUCAUCAUACAUGAUUGGACGGUUCAAUACAGACACAGAAACAGAUGUGACUGUUCAGUUGUUUGAGCAGGAAAUCAUGAAUAUGCGAAAGCGAGAAGUGGGGGAAAGGAGACAGCAGAAGAGUAACUCCAGUAAUAGAAGGUCCAGCUCGAUGGAGUCGGACGGCACGGCGGAGAGCGAGAGCGCCAAGAGCAAUGUCACGGCGAGGCAGAGCUCCCUGCUGCGCCUCAGGCUGCCCUUGGUCUCGUCAUCAGACUCGGGCGGGGACAACGGGGACCGCUCCCCCACCUCUGUCAAGGACGUCACCGACAAGAUCCUUGCCAGUUCCAAGAACAUCCUGGGGAAGGUGCUGUCCCCCACCAAGGACAAGUUUUCGACAAGGGACAAGAGCAAAUCUCCUACCAACACCAAUGCAGCUCCUCGGCCAUUUCUAAUGACUCGUCAACAAUUCCGAGAUCCAUUUGGUUCAGAUGAGGAAGAUGACGAGCAACCACAGUUGAUAGAGGAGAAGAAGAGUGGAUCAAUCCAACUCACUAGAUCUCAAUCUUCUCAAGAUAGUGAAUCUGUCCACUCAUCUGACACCCGAUUAAGCAGAGAAGGAUCAGAGGUGCGAGAAAGUGGCACCCAAGGUUUGUCUCCCACACAUGAACUAGCACGAAAACAACAUCAUAUCCUAAGCCGCCACGACGAGCUAAGGGAACGAGCCAGAUUGCUUCUGGAGCAAGCACGCAGGGAAGCAGCAAACAGGGGCAGUACGGCCCUGUCUCCAGUCCAGUCAUCUGUCAAGGCGGAGGAGGAGAGGCAGCAGCAGCUGCGGGAGCGAGCGAGGAAGCUGAUUGCCGAGGCGAGGAUGGGCGUGGUGGUGUCACCUUCGCAAGUGGAAGGCAGCAAGUUGCCAGGAAUGAAUGCAGACUCUCCAGAUACAACGAGCAUAGAGAACCGAUCUCCUGUUCAUCCCAACAGCCCUCUUUCACCAUCCUUACAAGAGAGAAUACAGCCUCCAUCUUCCAUAGCUGGUACAAAGGCAGAGAGGAAUGGGAAUGUGUUCCUUUGGAAUCAGGACAACUCUAGCUUGCCGAGUCCGCAGUCCCCAAACAGCAACGCGCCGGUAGGUUUGCGGUCGAGCCAGCAGCACGACAGGAAGUCAGCGUCUCCCCUCCACUCCUUCUCGUCCCUAAUGGAGAGGAUAUCGCCGGACCGAACCCCUGAAGAUGGCCUGGGAAGAGGGUAUGGAAAAGACAUAGUUAAUUACAUUCAGAAUGAGCUAGAAGCACUGGAAAGAGAACAAAAGCAGAUUGAUAGGCAGGCGGCCUUGCUGGAAAAGGAGCUACGAAGAGUAAUGGAAACUGGAAAAGAUAAGGAAAGAGAAGACGAGCUGAUGGCAAAGUGGUUCACGCUUGUUAACAAGAAGAAUGCCCUUCUAAGGAGACAGAUGCAACUGAACAUUCUUGAAAAAGAAGAUGAUCUCGAAAGGAGAUACGAGCUGUUAAAUCGUGAGCUACGUAGCAUCCUAGCUAUUGAAGAUUGGCAGAAAACUGAAGAGCAGAAGAUACGUGAAAAUCUAUUGCUCGAUGAGCUGGUCACAAUAGUUAAUAAGCGAGAUGAAUUAGUCCAUCACCUUGACUCCCAAGAGAAAGCCAUUGAAGACGACGAUGAAAUAGAAAGGAAUGUUACUCAAGUAGGAAUCAUUCAACAAAAUAAGAACUGUGUGUUACAAUGAAGUGGCUGAACAGAUACCCACUCCAUACACUAAUACUUCCAUGGUCAGAACAGCCUGCUACCACAUGCGCUUGAGUGCAUCAACGGACAAGAGCAUAACAAGCAUUGGGGCAUUUGGCGCAAUGAGGAUGAACUCUCGGUCCUGUGGAGAGGGUGGAUGCAGUUGGCUGCCAACGAAAAUUUGCUGUGCUUUCUUCCCUUUUUGACGAAUUCUUGCAGAUAUAUAAGAAUAUCACUUAUUACUAUACCAAUUAAUUAAUGCCUUACUGAAUGAAACUUACAAUUCAAUCAAAUACUUUUAAAAUCGUUGAUAACGGUGCUGUUCUUUCAGACUUUAAAUCAUUUGUAAGUUUUCAAGUAAGUUUUAUUUUACUAUAUUAUUUAAUUUUACUAUAUUGCCAUCAAGAGUUUUUGAGUUUAUGGUGACUGUGUCCUCACUUAAACGACUGUGUAUUGUGUUUGUGCAUACCACUUUAUAAUGUAGAUGUGAUCACUUGACAAAUACUACUUACAGUAAGCUCUCUAUAGUUGUGAUAGGAUGAAAGUACUAAACAUUUUUAAUAUCAUAUAUUUUAUUGAGUACCGACUGAUUCGUGACUUGUAUUCAUUUUAUAUGCAGUUAUACUUCUACUAAGUUAAGGUUUUUAUACCACCACAUAACAAAUGCCAAAUACAUUGUAAUUAGUAUGUAAGUUUAACUUCCUCGACUUAGAAUCAGUUUCUAUUGAGGUGCCAUUUUAUAUUGAAUGCUAGCAGUAGAAUUCGAAAUGAGUAAUGGAAUUUGUAGUCUAGUUGUACGUAAGAUUUAAAAAUAUUUUUUUCAGUUUCUAGUCUUUGAUUUUUAGGGAAAAAAAUUUUGUUGACAGUUUUAGGAAUUAUGGUUGCUGAUAGCUACACCUUUGCAUAAUAAAAGUACAAAGGUUUUAACUAAACUAUUUCCAAAUUGUGACUGUCACUUUUUAGAUGGGUCAAAUUUUCAAAUGAGCAGACUUAACUAACAGCUGUUUCCUGUGCAUUUGGCUUUUUACAUGCUUUAUAUUAGCUUCACCUGUUUAAAUUUCAUUUCUUCUCUUGACUGUGUUAACACAUGGUUGUAUAUUAAUAGCUUGGUGAGUAGGUACAUAUUGAAUACAACCUGUUGACUUGUAAUUUAGUGUCUGCUGACAACCUGUGUGACAGGUUUAACAAAGAUAUACAACUUUGAUUAGAUGGCUCGAGAGUAUCAUAUUUGAUUUAUUUUGUUACAUGCAGUAGCAUGUAUUAAUUUUAUUAUGAUUGAGCUUUAUGUCUUGUCAACAAUGUGGUUAUUACAAGUAAAAAUACAAAAAUACACAAAUUAGGAAUAGUUGGGAAAGAAUUUGCUACUACGAAUAGUUAAGAAACCAUCCUAACAUUUGUGUUUAAUAAUUUCAGGAAACCAUUAAAAUUUUUAAUCAAUAUGGCUGUACCGUGAUUAGAACUAGUGUCCUUGUAAAUUUGAGUCGAUUGUCUUAUCACUGCGAAACUUUCCGGUUUACACAGUACAUAAAAAAUUCUGGUGUUAAAGCCUACUGAUAUAAGUAGCCAGAGUUAUUAAAAUAUUAUUUAGCUUGGAAUUAAAUUACUUAGUUACGUGACCGGGCUCGGUGAUUUCCUAGGAAGACAAAUGACAUGUGAGCUACAUGUGAGCCACAUGGGUAGUGCUGCCACCAGUGAGUUAAGUUUAGGGGAGAACUGACACCCUUGGAUACACACUGAUGGAGAUUGUGAACACAUUUGGACAAGUCGACCUGAUUUUCUCAUCAGAAAAACAUGAAACCGCGGUGCGUAUAACCCCAGACUUGUGCAAUGAACACUGAAGCAUAAUUGAAUGUAUUGAUUUGAAUACAUAUAUCCAAUGUUGUGGCAUCUUCAGUUAAUUCCCACAAUGUACGCAGAAAAAUGUAUCGUGGCCGAUAGGGUGAUUUCCCACAAGUAAAGUUCACGUGAUGUGUAGACAAACCACACGAGUAGCACUGCCACCAGUCAGUAAGUUUUAAGGGGAACUUACAACCCUGGGACACACAAUGCUGGAGAUGGUGAACAUGCAUGAGCCAGUCGACCUGAUGUUAAGGACAGGCUUUCUCUUCGGGCUUUUAUCAGGAACACUGAAGCAGACGUGAACAAUUAACGACAGGUUGUGUUUACAUUGUGGCAUAUUAACCUAACAUGAGGGACCAGGUACUACUGGGGCAGCUCUCAUGUAUUCUCUGCAGUGAACACAAAAACACUUUGUAACAAAAGUGAGCUUUAGGGGUGGGAUGUCUUGGUUACUAACAAUCUUUUCAAUGGCCAAACUAUUAUGCACAAUCCACUUUCUGGAAAGUGAUGUUUUCUUACCACAAUGGCAACACAUGCAAUAGCUGACGACAGUGGGAUUAUUAUUCAUUUUUACUUUUAAAUGAAAUACAUUAGUUGCAAACUCUUAUUUAUUAUAGAAUCAAAUUAUUCACAACUACCUUUAUAUGUGAUUACAAUUAUAUGUCAAUUAUACUAAGAGCUUGAUUUCACACUUGAAUCAAUCAAUUACCUAGGUAGGUUUACAACAUAACAUUUGAAUGACAAUAAUCUAUUUAUGAUUACAAAUAACUUAAACCGCAAAUUACUCAAUGAAUAACAUCAGUUUAUAGUAUCAUUUUAGUACUUAGAACUUCAAGUCACAAUAAAAUCAAUACUGAUUCUUCCUAAGAACAAUUAAGAUUCAAAGAGCGGGCGCAGAAAGCAAGCAAGGAAGCCACAGUUUUAAGCAUCCUGGGACCUAUUUUCAUACAAAAAUUGUAAUGGUAUUCCUUUACGAACUCUGUUAAGCAACAAGCAAGACAUGUAGAGACUGGAAUCAGUUCCGUAUGCAUAAACAUCAUCUGCAUACCUUUACUCUUUCUAUGGGCAAAUAUAGAAACUAAGACAACCAUGCUUUCAAAUCCUUCUAGGUGAAACAAAGAGUACGGAGUAAAAGUUGAGGAUUACUUACCCAAGAUAGGAGUGAUGGCUCAGCUCAUGAUCACUGGCAGACCCCUUGUUCAACACCCACUGUGAGAGUAACAAUGUUCAAGUCUCCCAGAGCCCUGAGGCUCUUCUGUUCGUGUAGCGGUCAGCAAGGCACUACAUCUCCCAGAUCAGAGGCUCGCUUCACUCCUUUGAGUCACCCUCUCCUCCUGGUGAUUUCAAUGAGUGUCUCUGUAUUUUAUUACGCACAUCUGUACUCCAAUGAAACUUACUGUACAGAACACGUGGCAACACGGCACUCUGGCGUGCUGUUUUUAAUAAUGCCUUUAUCGUCCACCAGACGCCCGCUUCCUGCCGCACAGCCAGAAAGCUAACAGCACGCAUUCGCUUAUCUCUCUCGAAGCUGAGCUAAAAGCAACACCACACAAAGUGGAUGCUAAAACUGAAGCUAACAAAUUCAGAGAAACACGGGUCUAAAUGCAUUUGAGAGAGUGAUUCCGCAUUUCUUUGUCAAGUUCCUGGCUGCUUACAAACUGUGGUUUCCUUGCUUGCUUCUCGUGCCCACUCUUUGAAUUUAAAUAUGUCAUUAAUCAUAAUGAUUAUUUACUUUAAUUUCCUUUAUUUAUCAAUAAUUAUUUUAAGUACAAAGGCUCUAGUUCUUCACAAUGCCCUCUUUUUAAAUCAACCAACCAUUUCUUGACACCAGCAAGUUGGUUAUUAACUUCCCUCCAAGGGGUGGUGUUUCAACUAGGAGCUAAAUGAUUGUACAGGCAUAGCGAUGCCUGUUCAAAACAGUUAUGUUUACAUAUAUUAUUUCUCUAUACCGGCUCCUGGGGUAGGAGUCUAAGUGAUCGGGCCACAUGAUAGAGCAGCUGUUCCACCAAUCAGUCUUGUGAGACUUGGAGGCACUUUGGUGCUGUCUGAGUUCCUGCUCCUUCAUCCAACAUCGGCCUGGACUGGUCAUCCCGAUAGAGUGCUAGCUCGACGGUCCAGCAGGUACCAGUGGAGUCUGCCUCACACUCGAGGAGCCAGGAAGUGCAUCACCACCUCAUACUUUUACUCUUAACACCUCAACCGUCCAUCUCCUCUGAUCAUGACCAGCCUCGUCUGUGUGAGUACCAUCACUUCCGUUUGGGGAUCAACCGUCCUAUCAAGAAAGUAAACCCUAGCAUUUAUUUAUAAUUUACUUGAAUCUUUCAAGUGAAUAACAAUUCUAAUCAAUUAUUUAAAUGGCAGCCCCUUUUAUCAGCUUCUUGAAUCAAGUUCAGUAUUCAAUCUAGCUUACUAACUUGAUAUACCUAAUCUCUGACAGACUCAUUCUGCCUCUGAAUACAGUUAAAGAAUAUAUCAAAUUAGGCUACGCUGCUCUCAGCUGUCUUAUGUUCUGUCCUAAGAAUUUUUAUAAAAGCUUGCCACUAAAUGCUCAGUUUCAUGUGAGGGUUGGCCUUCAAUACCAUUCGUGCUUGGCCUCUCAUUCUCAGUUUUCCACACAUUCCCUAAUUUCUCUGCAUCUCCACAUCCUACCAUAUCAGCGCGAUGCUAUUUAUGGUCUCGAAUAUUUCCCCAUCCUAUUGUGAUUUUGCUUAAAAAAAUGAACUGUAACUAUUGAACUAUUUGUGGCAUCAGCAUUCCCAACCUUAAAAUACUUAGAAAGAAGAUAACACCAUUUUUGUCAUGUCAGGUGGUUUACCAGAACUAGGCAAGACACGAUGACAUGCGGACGAGCCUCACGUCAAGUCCUGCCACUCCUGGGACACACAAUGAUGGAUGUGGUGAACAUGUGUGGACCAACUAUCCUGAUGUUAUGGACAGGUUUUCCCUUCGAAAUAACGUGAAUCUGUGGUGCGUAUAACCCCAUACUUCACAAUAAACACUGAAGCAGAAUUGAUUUUAAAACAUCUGAUAUUGUAGCAUCUUAUUCUAACUAGAAGACCCUGGGACAACCAUAGCAACAGGCACUGCUUAAUAUAGUUCCCACAAUGUACACAGAAAAACUUGGGUAUGAACUUAAGCUUCAAAGAUAGAAUGUCUUAGUCUCCUGUUUCCUUCUCAAUACAUUAAUUUCAGAAACAUAUAAUUUGAUAUAAAUACUAGUCUUUUUACUACAGCAGCAAAUAUGGUAGCUGGCGGUAGAGGAAGUACAAUCCAUGUUUAGUUUAAUACAGAAACUCUGGUUCUAUAAGUGUGGUUUAUUCACAUAAAGCAUGAAUUAUUACAAUUUAUUAAUUACAAGUUUUCCCUCAAAUAUUACAGUUACAACUUCAAUAUACAAUAGAAAAUUUAAAAACUUAAAUUUUUAAUAACAUAAAUAUGUCCUUAUAAGAACAAUCAAAAGUUUCUCUCCUUUUCUUUUACCCUUUCUGAAGUAGUACUCUUUUAACAAGCAAGAGUAACCGGUAAACUGAAUUCUGUUUCCUAAUUAAUGCCGUGGACUUUAAGAAUACUCACUCAAUGUAGUGAUGGGAUGACAUCUCAUGUUGGUGAAGAUGACUGACCGAAUGCUCAACCGGCAGAUACCCAUCCUCACUGCCAGGAUGACAAUGGCAAAGUAACCCCAAAACACGUUCAUCCGCUUGACAUCAAUCCAGUGGCCAUGAUCACUCCCUGGGUCCGUACCUAGAACUGGCGCACAUUAGCGCUGUGAGUAUGCAGUGCUUGCCAUUAUCACUUCCAGUGAUGGACAUGAGCCGCCUCUUUGGUUAACUUUGGCGAUGCUAUCUCAUGACUCACUCAUGCCACUCAAACGUUCCUCGACUGGCUAGGGAGCCAAGUGCAUAGUAAAUUCUCUUGCUGCUUGACUUGGAAGCAAGGAGGAAAGCCAAAAUUAGUGCUAGUAAACUGUCUUUUUAAAGACCGGUUUAAAUGCAUGUGAGAGAGCGUUUCCGCUUUGGUUUUCAAGUGCGCGGCCACUUACAAACCACUGCAUCUCCGCUCGCUUUCUUUAGCUGCUCUUUAUGAAGAUUGCUUUAUUUCUUAAUUAUGAUUCACUGAUUACUUUAAUUGUUGUGGGUCUGAUUUCUUACAUUUAUAUUUAAGCUUAUUAAAUAAAAUUAAUUAGUAUAUUAAUGUUAUAUAUACUUUUGGUAAUUUCUUUUCAUUUAUAUGUUUUUUCAGUAGAUUUUUUUCAUGUUGUUAUGGUAACAGUGAACCAAAACGGUGUGUGUACAAGAAAUUUAAAAACUAAAACUGUAAUGAUAAUAAUGAAAAUGACAUACAAAUUUAAAAACUUAAUUUUUUCAACUUGCAUCACUAUCCUAGGUAUUGUGUUUUGUUAUGUAUUUGUAAUAAGUAAUUUUUAAAUUUUAACAUACAUAUAUUGUAUUGUAUUUUUUUAGUGUGACUUUUAUUUUAUUUUGCAGUCUGUUGUAAAAUGUAAUUCUUAGUGUCAUAGUCCUAUCAGUGUAGUUACCAUAAAUAAUUAUGAUUUAAAAUAUUCUUAAUCAUUCUUCGUCACUGGUAAAAUGUUGACUUGAUAACCAGUUUGAUUGUUCACUGGCUUUGCAUAUUUAUAAAAAAAAGUUUUUCAACUGAAAAUGGAAAUAAUACGUUCCAUAGUUUUGAAAUGGUUUCGGAGGUAUAGUAAUUAUUGCCACUUAGAUUACAAGUGUGCUAGAGUAAAAUUUUUAUUCAUUACUGUAGUAUGCAUUAUUUCAUAAGUUUACAUCAUCUCUUUUUUCUUUUCUUUAUAAAUAAAAGAUGUAUAUUUUAAGUACAGGUUGUGAUUUGUAAAAUGUAUUUUUUUUAAUGUCUCACGAAUCCAAAAGUUUGUUUUAAUGCUGUUUUUUUUUUUGGAAAGUUUAAACUGCAGUGGCAUAUGUCCAAAAAAACUUCAUUAAAUCAAAAUUAACCAUUGCAUGAAUCAUUUAAUAAAUGUACAGAAGUUUGUUCCUGUACAAAAUGUGUAUUAUCACUGUUGGCAUCAGUAAAAUUCUUACUUGGUUGUGUUUGACUACCAAUGUUUAAAAUUAAGUCUUACAGUGUGCUUAUGCAUAGUUAGUGUGGUGUAUAAAUAUUAUUGUAAAUGUUUGUGCAAAAUCGUACAAUGUUGGAAUGUUAUAGAAAUAUAUUUUCUGUUCAAAAUUGGGUUUUUUACAAGGAAAAUGAUUUUUUUACUUUAUAAUGGUAUAACAUGUUAUUUAUGUUACUAAGUGUUAGUGCGUAAAGUUUUGUAUUCAUUGUUUUUUAUUUAUAUACACAAGCCAUGGCAAAAGUUUAGUUUCCAACAAAUUUGUUACCGUAGUAUUAGUGUUUAGUUUUUAGAGCACCACCAAACAUAACAAGUUUGUUUGCAUAAAACCCAAACAUAGGCCAUUAAUACAUACGUUUUUUUUUACUUCUGCUGCACUACGCAGUUGUCCACACGUAUAUUUUCUUUCUCUCUCUCUAUCUCUCUCUGGCACUCUUCUCUUAAUUGUCACCCAUAUCUUGUUUAUUUUUUAUCCCGAUGGUGCUGAAGAGACUGAAAAAUACAAUUGAAAAGUUAGUAGCAUCAUGGUUUCAGUACAGUUUAUUACAACUGUUAGCAAUUCCUCUCAAGUACUUGGGCAGUAGGCAUGUGACUAGGACUAGCAGGCUUCUGAGUGCACACUCCUGCCUUGUGUGAUGCUGCUUUUGUGUUAGAGAUGGCCACAAAACACACAGCUGCCUUUUCACAACUCAUUCUGCAAUAAACACUAUUAAUGACAUAUUUCAAAGAGGUAGACAUUUAAAAAUUGCUUUUACUCCAUUAGUUGUUUGCAGUGAUACUGUGCUGAGGGUAUUUUUAAUUUUUCAAACUAUAUGAGAGAGUGUCUGCACUAAUAGUACCAAAUAAGUUUUUUUUUUUUUUUUAUUCAAAAAACAAACCAUCUAUUUCAAGCAUAAAUACUAUACUACAUAAUUGUAAUUAUUUAAGAAUGGCACUGAGUUUCCGAAUGGACAUUCAACUAAAUAGUUUGGUGGCCAUAUUUUUCUCUGAACAGACCAUCUCUGUUGCCAGGUUGCCACUACCUACCAUAAAGAUGCAAAAAAAAUUAACUUUAUUACUGUGCAUAUUUUCUUUACACGAAAAAGUAUUCGUCUCCCAUCCACCUCGUUCUUGCUCAAGACUGUUCAAGGCCAUAUUCAUCACUUUUUAACUACCCGUUGAAUCCAAUACACACAAUAUUAUUUAUUGGUCACUGCUACGGCUACUGUUCCAAAUGAUAAAAGAUUAAAAGCAGUACAGUAAUGAUGUUACAACUAUGGACUAUUAUGAGAGGUCUGAAGUUGUGAGAUUUUUGUAAUGUGCCAUCAUUUUUCACAAUAGGAACUGUAGUAAAUGUAUGAGUUUUUUUACGAAUGUUUCUUCUUCCGCUGCCUCUCUUAAAACAGCAAGCAGCACUUAGUUUUGCAGCUUCCUGCCUUAAAAGCCGUUGCUAAAGGCUUGGAGCGUAUUUACCAAUAAAAUUAAAAUGUUUAGAGUAAUAAAAAAUUUAAUACAGGUUUUUUUUUUUUUUUUCUAACGAUUGACAGUUUUAAAAACAAGAUGUGAAAUUCAGACAUUUUGGGAAGUUUUGAAAAAAUAGUUUUGCCAUUUGGUUGUUAGUUGGUGCAUACGGAGGGAAUUGGGGGGGGGGGGGUGUAUAUAUAUCCCUAUCUGGCCCUCCCCCCUCCCUCAAAAUCCUAAAAAAUGAAUGAAAAUCUAUCAUUCCCACCAACAAAAGGAAAGACUUUGAAUGCAAACAGUGGGCAGUGGUUCCCUACCCCCCCCCCCCCCCCCCUUCACUCUCUCAUUUUCCAAAAUGAAAUUUGGUGUACAUUCCUGAGUGUUUUAAGAAUUAUAACUUUGUUUGUCUAGGUUUUACGCACACAAUUGUUCACAGAGUCAUAAGGCGAUGGGAUCUUCAAGAUUCUAGUGGCGUGAAACGACUCAGUGCUCAUAAAUACUAAUCAUGGCGGAAUGUUGAGGUCGAACACACGACCCUCACCACAUGAGCGUGACAUGUUGUGAGGUGCCCCUGUGCCUUCCCUCAAAAUUUGCCUGUGUUCUUUGAAGUGGUUAUAGUUUCAAUUAGAGGUAUGUAAGUAGCCAGAAAAAAAAUAUAUUCACUAUUCAUGAGUAUUUGAUAUUCAGUUAAUCAUUUCAAAUCAAUUUUUUUUUCAUCAUUAGUUACAAUAGGUUCACCAAGUCAAACUCAUUCACAAAACAUUUAAACGAAAAAAAAUUGGUAAGAAAUCUGGAUUUGUUUUCUGCAAAAUAGCUAUUAAAUCCUUGUUUUAUAUUUAAUAAAUAAUCUGUGAUUAUAAUAAAAAUUACCAUAAAUAUUACUAUAUCUUUAUGUACAUAAUCAUUUGGAUAAACAAAACAAUUGUGAAAUUUUAAAGUUUUACUGGUUUAAGAAAAGGCUGUGCCAAGGUUUUUAUUUUACUGUAUUUUGUAUGAAUGUGUCUUGGAAUCUUGUGAAUUAUAAUAGAUAAAACUUUUGUUGUAUGUAUAAAUUGUAUCCAAAAAUAUACUAUAUUAGUAAAUAAUUUGAUAUUCGAAGAAAAAAAUCAGGUUUCACAGAAGUAUAGUUUUAAUCGAUAAACACAAUUUCUGUUUGCAAAUUUUUUGUGUUAAUAUAAAUAUAAUAUAUAAUAGUAUUAAAGGACAAAAACCUGUACAGUAAAACUCCCUAAAAAAAUUUCCUGCAUGAGAGGUUUUAAAAAAUCAGCACUUGACUUAAUAAUACAUACAAUUUCACCCUCUUAAUAAGUUUUCCCUGUUAAUAUGUAGAAAAUUUCUAUGUACCUUGAGACACUUCUUAACAGGGAAUUACUGUAGACUGAACUUUUAAGUCAGUGUUUUCAAUUAUGAAUGUUAUGGAAAUUUUUUCUCCUUACUAAAAAUCUAAAGCUUGAGAUUACUUUCCAACACAAAUUCUUUACAUGGUGUCUUGUACAGUAGAGUGCAAAAAAAAAAAUAUUUUUGCUUAGUGAAACAGUUUUUUGGUUGGUUGAGUUUGAUAGUUUCUUGAGUUUUCUCAUCUUAGUUCAGAAUGUUACAUAAUAGUUUUCGCAUCAAAAAAUUUUGAAUGCACAUAACUUAAAUAAACCCUUCUAACUUUUCUGUCACAAAUCCUGUAUUUUGAUCUAAUAUGAAGAAUGCCAAAUGGUAAAUACAAGCAAAUAAACAUACUUGUAACAAAAGUUUCAUUUAUUACUUAGUGAUAAACUAAAAUUAUUGUAAUAAUUGAAGUAAAUUCAAUAAUGAAAAAUAACCAACCCCUGGGUUGAAUAGUAUGUGGAAAUUUUUGCUGAAUGUAAACUAACCUAUUAUUUCUAUAAAUUUAUCUUUGCCAAAAUCAGACUUUCUUUAUUAAAAACUGGGUUAGUGAGGAGUUACGUAAUGCAUCAUCCCUUGAGACUAUUUUCUUGUGUACCAAUGUAAAUAUACAGCUCUUUAAUAUUUUGUAGAGGCAUAUGAAUAUAGCAGUUGUUAUAAAUACUAAUUAAAUAUAUUCUAAAUUUGGUUAAUUGCUAUAAUAUGCUAAUUUUGGCAUAGAUAAAUUCAUAGAAAAAUCUAAUAGGUUGGUUUACAAAGAGCAACAAUUUCAAUAACCUUUUCCACCUAGAGGUUUAAUAUCUUUUGUCUUGAUUGUACUUCAUUUAUUACAAUUAAAUUUUAUGACUUAGCAGUAAUAGAAAUGUUUGUUUAAAGUAUGUUUAUUUGUGUGGAAAUUUUCGUGUUUACCAUUUUGCAUUCUUCAUCUUAAAUCAAAAUACAAGAUUUGUGACAGAGAGGAUAAAAGGGAUUAUUUAGGUUGUAUGCAUUCAAAAUUUUUUGACACUAUUUCUAUUAUGAAAUAUAAUGAACUAAGAUGAGAAAACUAAAGAAACUAUCAGACUCAGUGCAAAUGAUUUCAGACUUCCAAAAAAAAUACCUGUGCCCAAAUGAGCUGUAAGAUUCUAGAGAAUGAAUUUCAAAAUGCUCUUUAUAUGUAUUUCUAAUGAUAUAAAAUAAAAAUGUGUAAAUUCCUUUUUAUUUUGUCAUGGCUUCUUAAAAUAUUCACUUUUAUUGAUCUAAAUUUUGUGUGUUAUACUCGACGGUUGCGACUGUAGGCUGAUACUUGUAAACAUAACUAUAAUGUGCGAACGCUCAAUACUUACCUGUUCAAAUGCCACUGUGCAGGCACUAGCAAGCAGUAUGUACAGUUACUGAUCAGUGAUCUUGCCUGUAAAUGUUUGUUGUGUGAAGUAGUUGCCAAUGCAGUAAUAUUAUUAAAACCAAAGUUUGAUGUAAUUGAAAAGUUUGGUGUAAUUGAUAGCUUUUAGAAUAAUAAAUUACAAUGUAUAGCUUUUUAUGUAGAAAUGAUGUUCAAUUUCAGUGAUACAUUUAAAAAUAAUUUUAUCCAAGUUUAUUUGUUUGAGUUGUUUCUUAUAUGUGCAUAUUGUUAACAAACAUUAUUAAACAGAGCUCUUAACUUGCAGAAAAA